CACAUGUCAAGAGGACGUUUUUUCUUCAUGCUCUAUGUUCGAUGACAUGAGAUAAGGAGAUGUGGAAAUGUUUGCAUGGAGUUCAUCAGAAUUACGGACAAAAAUCUAAAUUCUAUGAAAACCUGGACAGACACAGUUCACGGUUUAUGGACCUUUUUAAAACCAGAAGGUCGACUCCUGGUCAGCACUUGAAGUUUUUACUGCAAAUAGAGUCAGUCAAGCCAACUGAGGUCUGAACCCUUGUUCUUUGAGGAUUGCCUGUCAUGCUGGGAGAUGCAGACUCCUCUCGCAUCAUUCGUC